GGUGCCAGCACAGGCUUAAUAGGGAAUCUGGUGAAAGACCAGAGCUGUCCCCGCAACUGUAAAUGCUGACGAAAUGGUGAUGCCACUGUGAUAGUUGGUCUAGUAAUAGGCUGCUAUGAUGGGAAGGAACCAAAGUAGGAUGACGUAUAAGUCAGUAGACCUGCCUCGCUC
rnacentral:ncRNA from 1 species